UUAUCCAAUGGCAGAGAAGGUGGAAGGUGGGACAGCUUCGGCUGGGCGCUCGUCGGCGAGCUCGUCGGCCGUCCGGCUCUCCCCUCCGCUUGCGGCCCUCUCGGCCUCUCCUCCACUUCUUGCGUCCCCGUCCCCCCUGUAGGGCAUCCUCGACGUUCCUAACCUCAAGAAGUGCGGCGGCGGCAGAUCCGCGUGGGGGCGUCGAGCGCAGCUGGAUCGUGAAGGCCUCUGCAGCCUCCGUGCAGACGCUCGAGGUCAACAACGCCACCAUGAUGUACAGCUGCGAGCUGCCCACCCGUGUCCUCAGCCUCUUCGUCCCACUCUUGGUGUCUCCUCAAAGAUCCUCAGCAGGGAGCGCAUCAUUGUCGUCAACUCCAAGCUGAUCCGAUGCGUCAAGAGGUAAUCCUCUACUCACUUGACCGCUGACGAGGUCUUCCAAUACGCCGCCGGUGUGCAGCCACUCUCCUCUCUCUCUCUUUCCCUCCCUCUGGUAUCCCUCUCUAUCUUGCUGGAACGGCACCGACCAUCACUGGUCUGGACUCACACCCAACUUGAUUUUUCCUUGUGCUGAUUUGGGGUUAGUUUAGGUCCAGGACUCCAGGGGCAGGCGCUAAUGGAGAGUUUGAGAAUGAAUGCGAGAGGACUUGAUACAUCAUGGUCUCCUUGUGCUUUGUUGUUUGGUUGGUGUAGAAUCCCUCAGCUCUUACCAAGAGGCUCUAGCUUCGAACAUGACUCUUUUAGUAGUUGGAGUGUUGCACGCAUGGAAUUGAUCGCAGAGAGGAAGCGAAGCAGCAACAGUUUGGGUUCAGAGAAGAUUAGGAGCAACAGUUCAUUGGAGAAGGAGAGGUACAUCAGCCGAGGGCAGCAGCGGAGAGCAAAAUCAGCAGGUUAGGGGCGGCAGGAGAGGAUCAGAAGUAGAGAUGAGUGCGAUUCAAUUGCCAUUGAUAAUGAUUCAACUUGAGUUUGCACCAUCCUUGUGUUACUAAAUAGUUUUUUCCUUUUUCACUUGUGAUUAUGUACUAGAGAUUUGCAAGGAUGCAUUGGAUUCUUUUUAUACUGAUUUGAUGCACUCUGACUUUGGAAUGCGAACAAAUGUGUUCUUCAAUUGGCAUUGAUGAUUCAGACUUUAGUUUGCUAAUACUGUAGCUGACAUAACCUUAUGUGUUACUCGGCUAUACUAAGUGGAUUGAGCUUUUUGUUA